GAGGAUCAGAUUCCUAGGGGCUUCCCUACCAUUGAUAUGGGCCCACAAUUGAAGGUGGUGGAACGCACUCGCACCGCCACCAUGCUUUGUGCAGCCAGCGGUAAUCCGGAUCCGGAAAUCACUUGGUUUAAAGAUUUCUUACCUGUUGACACAAGCAACAACAAUGGUCGUAUUAAGCAGUUACGAUCAGGUAGGGUCUUGUCACUGUUUCCACUAACUCCUGGACAGUUUUUAAAAUUACCCUUCUCUUUCUUUAUUCCUUAAAUUUAAUUUAAAUUUUUAUUUUUAUUUUUUAGGUAUUGAUUUAUCUCCCUCUUUUCUUUUUCCGUUAUUUAAUAUGUUGUCCAUGUUUGUGAGGUCAUGGCCUCAUCCACAAUCUGUCUUCCCUUGGUGUGUUUUGCGGCUUCUGUUUACUCCACAUUGCUCACUGCUGUGACUAUAUUCUUAAUGAGUUUUAAUUUACUGCUUUUUCUGCGCUACUUGAUGGAUCCAUUUCUUUCUCCUUUCUUCGUUUUCUUUUGAAACAAAUUUAUUUCCACAUUGAAUUUCAUUUCAAACUUGCAAAGCGCUCCAGUGGCUAUUUCCGUAUUUAAAAAAAAAA
rnacentral:lncRNA from 1 species